GACGAACGCUGGCGGCGUGCUUAACACAUGCAAGUCGAACGAAGUGGCGAACGGGUGAGUAAUACGUGAGUAACCUGCCCUCCUUUUUGGGAUAAGCCUUGGAAACGGGGUCUAAUACCGGAUAAAGGGGGAUGGGCUCGCGGCCUAUCAGCUUGUUGGUGGGGUGAUGGCCUACCAAGGCGGUGACGGGUAGCCGGUCUGAGAGGACGAUCCGCCAAACUGGGACUGAGACACGGCCCAGACUCCUACGUGAGGCAGCAGUGGGGAAUUUUGGACAAUGGGGGGAACCCUGAUGCAGCGACGCCGCGUGAGCGAUGAAGGUUUUCGAAUCGUAAAGCUCUGUCCUAUGGGAAGCGGUACCAUAGGAGGAAGCCCCGGCUAACUACGUGCCAGCAGCCGCGGUAAUUC
rnacentral:rRNA from 1 species